rnacentral:rRNA from 1 species
CCUACGGGUGGCAGCAGUGAGGAAUAUUUGUCAAUGGGCGAGAGCCUGAACCAGCCAAGUCGCGUGAGGGAGUACUGCCCUAUGGGUUGUAAACCUCUUUUGUCGGGGAGCAAAAGCCGGACGUGUCCGGCUGUGAGAGUACCCGAAGAAAAAGCAUCGGCUAACUCCGUGCCAGCAGCCGCGGUAAUACGGAGGAUGCGAGCGUUAUCCGGAUUUAUUGGGUUGAAAGGGUGCGCAGGCGGAUUUUUAAGUCAGCGGUAAAAUCGUGGGGCUCAACCCCAUCCAGCCGUUGAAACUGGGGAUCUAGAGUGUGCGAGAGGUAUGCGGAAUGCGUGGUGUAGCGGUGAAAUGCAUAGAUAUCACGCAGAACCCCGAUUGCGAAGGCAGCAUACCGGUGCACAACUGACGCUCAGGCACGAAAGCGUGGGUAUCGAACAGGAUUAGAUACCCGGGUAGUC